ACGCUGGCGGCGUGCCUAAUACAUGCAAGUAGAACGCUGAAGAGAGGAGCUUGCUCUUCUUGAAUGAGUUGCGAACGGGUGAGUAACGCGUAGGUAACCUGCCUUGUAGCGGGGGAUAACUAUUGGAAACGAUAGCUAAUACCGCAUAACAAUGGGUGACACAUGUCAUUUAUUUGAAAGGGGCAAUUGCUCCACUACAAGAUGGACCUGCGUUGUAUUAGCUAGUAGGUGAGGUAACGGCUCACCUAGGCGACGAUACAUAGCCGACCUGAGAGGGUGAUCGGCCACACUGGGACUGAGACACGGCCCAGACUCCUACGGGAGGCAGCAGUAGGGAAUCUUCGGCAAUGGGGGCAACCCUGACCGAGCAACGCCGCGUGAGUGAAGAAGGUUUUCGGAUCGUAAAGCUCUGUUGUAAGUCAAGAACGAGUGUGAGAGUGGAAAGUUCACACUGUGACGGUAGCUUACCAGAAAGGGACGGCUAACUACGUGCCAGCAGCCGCGGUAAUACGUAGGUCCCGAGCGUUGUCCGGAUUUAUUGGGCGUAAAGCGAGCGCAGGCGGUUUGAUAAGUCUGAAGUUAAAGGCUGUGGCUCAACCAUAGUUCGCUUUGGAAACUGUCAAACUUGAGUGCAGAAGGGGAGAGUGGAAUUCCAUGUGUAGCGGUGAAAUGCGUAGAUAUAUGGAGGAACACCGGUGGCGAAAGCGGCUCUCUGGUCUGUGACUGACGCUGAGGCUCGAAAGCGUGGGGAGCGAACAGGAUUAGAUACCCUGGUAGUCCACGCCGUAAACGAUGAGUGCUAGGUGUUGGAUCCUUUCCGGGAUUCAGUGCCGCAGCUAACGCAUUAAGCACUCCGCCUGGGGAGUACGACCGCAAGGUUGAAACUCAAAGGAAUUGACGGGGGCCCGCA
rnacentral:rRNA from 1 species